AUUAGCCUAACAUGGCAGACCAGAGACAGCGCUCACUGUCGACCUCUGGGGAGUCAUUGUACCACGUCCUUGGGCUGGACAAGAACGCAACCUCAGAUGACAUUAAAAAGUCCUAUCGGAAACUUGCCUUGAAAUAUCACCCCGACAAGAACCCUGACAACCCGGAGGCUGCAGACAAGUUUAAGGAGAUCAACAACGCGCACGCCAUCCUGACGGACGCCACAAAAAGGAACAUCUACGACAAGUACGGCUCGCUGGGGCUCUACGUGGCCGAGCAGUUUGGGGAAGAGAACGUGAACACCUACUUCGUGCUGUCCAGCUGGUGGGCCAAGGCCCUGUUUGUCUUCUGUGGCCUCCUCACGUGCUGCUACUGCUGCUGCUGUCUGUGCUGCUGCUUCAACUGCUGCUGCGGGAAGUGUAAGCCCAAGGCUCCUGAGGGCGAGGAGACGGAGUUCUACGUGUCCCCUGAGGAUCUGGAGGCCCAGCUGCAGUCUGACGAGAGGGGAGGGCACUGACACUGUGCCGCGAGUGUUUGUGGUGGCAGCUGGGACUGUUGAGGUGUGAACGUGGACCCUGAGAGGCCACAGACACGCCGAUCGUCAUACAGCCGGCAUCUGCCACUGAGACCACCCAGCUCACAGCCGACUCCCACCCCAGCUACCACACCGACGGGUUCAACUAAAUCCAGGAGAAGCUGAGGUCAGAGGAGGAGCCAGCGCCGGCCACGCCCACCUUAGAGUCAUGAACUGUAGUCACACAGAUGGGAAGGCGGCCUCGCCGGGCCCCUCCUGCCUCCACGCCCACCCAGCGCCAACCCUUGACCCACGAAGCGCGUAGCAUGCAGUAUUGAAAGCAGUGUAGCUACGGUCUUCUGUUCUUUUCCUUUUGUAAUAGCAUGUACGGGGUUGUGUUCCGUGUCUGUGUUGUGGACGUUCCGCGGCACGACCGCGUUGACCGCACAGUGGAGCUGCCUCAGGGCUGUCGGUCAGGCCGGUCCGGUGAGGGGUGACUGCAGCCAGCCAGGUGGGCGAGGAGAAGGGGGGCUGCCCCUUUCUUCCCUGUGCUGGAGGGGCCGGAGGCAGGUGCUUCCUGGCAGAGCUGUGUUACCGCGUUAGCCUCGGGGUCUGGUCCACCUGCUGUGCUCCCAGUCUUGAGGCUGCAGUAGGACUGAUCUCACCUGCCAGCAAAGGGGCGAGGCCGCAUCACCGGCGUCACUGGCGUCACCGUCAUUCCUUGGUGUCUGUGCUGGGCACAGUUGGCUUGGGGCUCUGUGGUUUCCGGGGCCUCGUGGCAGGGUUUCUCCUGUAGGAGAAUUUGGUGUGGAAAGCAUAGGAGGCUCCUUCCGAGGUUGACCCCGUGUCCUCCGCACAGUGUUUCUGGCCUGGUCUCCUGGUCGUGUGGACGCUGCGGUUCCGGUCCUCGGAGGUGUGUCUUUCGCCCGUGUUGGGGUUGUCUGUCUGUGUUCCUGCACUUUUCCCGGGCUCUGAGCUGGAUUGAUGGGGCCAGUCUCCCCCCUCCCGUCUUGGGGUCAUUCUCCACAUUCCUUCCAGACCACCUGUCCUUUCCGUAGCCCUUUUUGGACCUUUAGAACCACAGAGAGUAGGACCAGCCCGAUGAGCCUCAGAGAGUAGAUUGUGCAUAUGUGAGCACCCGGUUGCUGGGUACGGGGGCUCUCCCAAGACCCCUCCUCGUGUGUUUGCCAGAGCUCCCGUCUGCCCCACUCGCCUUUGCCCCGUCAUCGAUGAUUCAGGCAGGGCCAGAUUCAUUAGGUCCCUGGAGGAAGGACUGGACCAGAGGGACCCUCUGGCUCAGAAGGGUUGGGUCUGUGGGAGGCCAGACCACGGAAUCCACCUGUGGACCAUUGGGGGUCCCUGGGAGGCCAGACCACCAGUAUCCACAUGUCGGAAUCCACGUGCGGACCGUUGGAAGUCAGUCUCGUGUGUGUCCUAGACCUUGGUGGUGGUGCCCUGGGUAGGGGAGCGAGGGGAAACUGUUCUGAUGUGCCUGUGCUGGCCGAGGGCUCAGAGCUGCCCCCGCGCCAUGGCUCAUGGGAUGUGCUGGGCCUGCCUUUGGCCGCAUGCUGCAGACUCCAGUGGGCCUGGUUUCUGCAGAACGUCCCUGGUGGCUCUGGCUCGGACCAAGCCGAUGAGCAUCCUUUCCCCGCCUGCCUGCUGACCCGUGGCCCCAGCUCGCUCAUUGCCCUCAGCGGCCACCCAAGGCUGUGUAGAGGGGUAGGUUCAGGUGGACCAGGAGGUGGCCAGAAGGGACAUGGUUGUGAGGACACAUCUGGACGUGCUUAGGAACGGGGUGCUGGUGAGGCCCCCAGCUGACCCCUCCUCUAGGUCCACAUGGACCGUGAGCCGGCGGCCGUGAGCACCAGAUCCUGGGGCAGUUGUGUCCGUCCCACCUUUCUUUGUUUUUCUCACUAAAAUGAUCAUGAAGACCUUUGACGAGAGGAGAGAUAUGCACUGUGAUGUUAAAUUAGAAAUAAUUUGUCAAAAUCAGACCUCUCCUAAAAGAGUAAGAAUUCAUUGGCCCGUCCUGAAACGUGAGGCGGCGAGACAGUGGGGUGCCUCUGUGCCACUCAGCACAGCAGCAAGUUCAGCCUGAGAUGCCGGCGACACUCAGCCUUUGCAAUUUUUGUAGAUGUAGCUUAGGACAUGAGUGAUUUUUCUGCAGACUGGCCAAGAGCCAGGUUCUAAGCUUGGACCUAAGGUAGAGAGCCAGCCACUGGGGGCCCUGGCUCAGCCCGCCAGGCUCUCUGUUGGGCCUGCACACAGCUCUGUGGCUGGAACACUCCAAGGUCCUUGGAUACUCAUCAGAGUGGGCCCCUUGCCCGAUGGCUUUUCAGUUACAGAGUCCAGUGGACCAUUUUUUAGAACCGUGCAGCUCCCUGCAGAAGGUGGGGUAGGCGGGGAAGGAGCAGCAGGUCUGGAGGUUUGUGGAACCUGGUCCCCUGCAGAAUUUGUAAAACCUAAGUAACUCAUGGCCGUGGCCAUUCUCACGGUGGUGACUGUGAUUCUAAGACCCCCAGGAAGCCCAGACACUGGGGCCUGGAGCUCCUCCCACUGCCUGACCUGGAAGCAGAACCCUUGUCAGCAGCUCUGCCCUGUUGGUUUUAAGGCCUUGUCUUAACUCAAGGAAGAAGAUCCUUCCAGGUUUUAUUUCUCUUUUUAUUGAGUGGACUGUUCCCCAUUAAAAGAGGUGGUGAGUCCCCAGGGACAGCUUACGCAUCUCCCUGUCCACAUGCUAACAGAUCAGGACGCCCCCAGCAUCCCUGCCUUCCGGUGGCAGUGACGGGAUCCCCGACCGCUCACUCUGAGGCUGCAGACGGUGCUGUGAACGUGUGUGGCCGUGAGCACAGAAUGUCCCGUUGGAGCCGCUGCUGGGUGCUGCCGGGGGCCUGCUGGGGCUGUGCUUCGAGGCCUGUCCAGUUCACAAGGGGGUCCAGGCAGCACCGACUGCUUCUGACCUGCAGGAGGCAUGGGUGCAGCCCGAGGGCCCUUCACGGCAGCUGCUGUGUAGAUUGUCUCCACUCAGUGACGUGGGAUUUUUUUUGUCUUCCUUUUGGCUUUAUUUUUAAACUGCUUUAGAUAUUACUGCUCAGUGUUUGUGAACUUUCCUAGCUCUCUGUGUUCAGUUCGUGCAGCAGCACCCAGUGGGGACCUGUUAGAAAAAGGACCUGGUGUGCGCAUGUGCCCAGCAGGAAAAGCUUCAUCUUCAGGUCGGCGCUGCCGUCCGGGAAAGGCCCUGGAGCCUCGUGCCGUCGAGGCUGCUCCCAGGUGCUGCGUGUCGCCAGUGGCCCCCGUUGCCUGCUGAGCCCAGGGCGUCUGUUCGGGGUGGGCCUUGUGCUGUGGGGGCACCAGCACGCAGGCUGCCUCUGGAGGGUCCAGGUGCUGCGGGCAGAGUUCGACGUGGGGCUUGUCCACCCUCCCUUAGCUCUGGCUCAGUGCAUCCUACUGUGGGGACAUCUCGUGGGGGACACGAAGUGACUGACCUCACCCUUUCCCAGUAUUCGGAGCUGUGAACCCGUGUGGGGCAGGACGGGCCUGUGUCUGUUAUUUUGGUUGUAAAUCAUCCUCCUGUGAAAUUGGCAAAAGCUACGUAUUUACUGUCCUUACCAGCAACGGUUCGCGUCGUCACAUGCUGUGAGUGUGGGCUGUGGUGUGUCCGUGUGUGUACAUAUGUGUAUAUGUAUAUAUCACACAGCAGGCGUGUCAUUUGUGCUGCUGUCCCGUGGUGAAGCCACAAGUACAAUUUAAGGUGGCUCUGAAACGGCCUUUGGUUUCUUGGGAGUCGGGCAGGGACCUGCAAGAGGCUUUCCUGGCAGGUGCACAGAAGGAAGCGCUGAGCCCACUGUGUGCAGAGGAUGUGUGCCCAGGGCACUGCCACGGCCCCCACCGGUGUUGGCCUCUGCUCUGCAGGGUUGGGUGCCCAUCCUGGGGGCUCCGUGUCACGCCCACCUGACCCAGGUGUGUGUCCCGGUGUGAAAUCUAGGAGGUGACUGGAAACCCUUCCCUCCCUUAAAACAUUAAAGCCGAUUUUCUAAGCAACACAUACAAUCAGUGGCAAAGCUGCAUCUGAAGGGCAGCCUGGGGAGGGGCCCCGUUCUGGCCCCAGGUCCGCCCCAGAGGAGGAUACAGAGCAGCACCUCCAGAAGGGGCUGGGCCGGGUCCUGCAGGCGGCACCUUUUGGUAGAUAUUGUUUCUCUGGAAAAUGGGGAAAAUGUUUCAAACCAGGUGAGGGGGGGAAGUUAACACUGAAAUAUGUCUUGUUUUUAAAAAUCAAACGCAAACGCAUGGAAGCUGCUUGUCCAUGCACUGGUUUUUUCACUGGCGUCCUGGAGUCCGACCGUGUUGGGGUGCAGGCGCUGUCAGAGUCCGGCUGAUCCUGGCUCGAGCACACACAUCUGAGGGCCAGGCUGGUUCCGCAUGGUGAUCUCCGUCUUGUAUGUCUGAAUGUUGACCUAAAAUAAAGAUUACUGUUGUAAAAUAAAUGUUUUCACUGCA